rnacentral:rRNA from 1 species
UGAGGAAUAUUGGUCAAUGGGCGCAAGCCUGAACCAGCCAUCCCGCGUGCAGGAAGACGGCCCUAUGGGUUGUAAACUGCUUUUCCAGGGGGAGAAUUUUUCUGUCGUGACAGGAAUUGACGGUACCCUGGGAAUAAGCAUCGGCUAACUCCGUGCCAGCAGCCGCGGUAAUACGGAGGAUGCGAGCGUUAUCCGGAUUUAUUGGGUUUAAAGGGUGCGUAGGCGGAUUGAUAAGUCAGUGGUGAAAACCCGCAGCUUAACUGUAGACUCGCCGUUGAUACUGUCAGUCUUGAGUGUGGUCAAGGUAGGCGGAAUGUGUAAUGUAGCGGUGAAAUGCUUAGAUAUUACACGGAACACCGAUUGCGAAGGCAGCUUACUGGGCCAUUACUGACGCUGAUGCACGAAAGCGUGGGGAUCGAACAG